rnacentral:rRNA from 1 species
UACAGGGGGUGCAACCGUUGCUCGGAAUUAUUGGGCGUAAAGCGCGCGUAGGCGGCUACCUAAGUCGGAUGUGAAAGCCCUUGGCUCAACUGAGGAAGUGCACCCGAAACUGAGUGGCUAGAGUACGAAAGAGGGUCGCGGAGUUCCCGGUGUAGAGGUGAAAUUCGUAGAUAUCGGGAGGAACACCGGUGGCGAAGGCGGCGACCUGGGUCGAUACUGACGCUGAUGCGCGAAAGCGUGGGGAGCAAACAGG